GACGAACGCUGGCGGCGUGCUUAACACAUGCAAGUCGAACGGAAAGGCCCUGCUUUUGUGGGGUGCUCGAGUGGCGAACGGGUGAGUAACACGUGAGUAACCUGCCCUUGACUUUGGGAUAACUACAGCAAACUGGGGCUAAUGACGGAUAGGAGCUCCUGCUGCAUGGUGGGGGUUGGAAAGUUUCGGCGGUUGGGGAUGGACUCGGGGCUUAUCAGCUUGCUGGUGGGGUAGUGGCUUACCAAGGCUUUGCCGGGUAGCCGGCCUGGGAGGGUGACCGGCUACAUUGGGACUGGGAUGCGGCCCAGACUCCUACGGGAGGCAGCGGUGGGGAAUAUUGCACAAUGGGCGGAAGCCUAAUGCAGCAACGCCGCGUGCGGGAUGACGGCCUUCGGGUUGUAAACCGCUUUCGCCUGUGACGAAGCGUGAGUGACGGUAAUGGGUAAAGAAGCACCGGCUAACUACGUG
rnacentral:rRNA from 1 species